rnacentral:lncRNA from 1 species
GCUGUAGCUCUUCCGAGCCGCAGCGCUGCCGAGUCAGCGCGCCCAGCCGAGCGCUCCGCUCGCCCUCCGCUCCCCGCGCUCCUGCACUCACCCGCUUACUCUUCCCUUUCUCUUUUCCUCCCUUUUUUUCUUUUUUUUUUUUUUUUUCUUUUUUAUCCCUGUGCCCCUGUGCCAGUUGAUUUAAAUGUAUCUGUUCAAGUGGAGAUAAUCCAUGCAAAUCAGAGGCACUGGCUCCCAGUGCUCGAUUCACAAAGAGAACUCAGCUUCAGGAGGUCACUCGUUCACAGCUGCUCCUCCCAUUAUAUUUUUCCCUUAUUGCAGAACUACUGCAUGUAUACAGUGACUGAAAGGACUCAAUUCACUGCAACUGCUGCCUGGCUUUACUUACAACUUUCUUUAAAGGGGGACUUACCUUCUAUCACUCUUGCUAAGCAUUUACAGCAAUUCCUAAUUAUAUCCUGAACUAAAAAGACCAUCUCCAUAUGAUGCUCAUACCAUUCCUUCUUAAUGAGUGGUCUGCAGGACUUGGACAAUGAGCUGUAAACCUAGAGCUUUAAGGGAG